GAACCGUGCAAACGUUGUUCGGAAUCACUGGGCUUAAAGGGCGCGUAGGCGGGCUCGCCAGUCUGUGGUGAAAUCCCCCGGCCCAACCGGGGAACUGCCGUGGAUACUGCGGGUCUAGAGCGGGGUAGGGGCGUGCGGAACUAAUGGUGGAGCGGUGAAAUGCGUUGAUAUCAUUAGGAACUCCGGUGGCGAAGGCGGCACGCUGGACCCUUUCUGACGCUGAGGCGCGAAAGCCAGGGGAGCAAACGGGAUUAGAUACCCCGGUAGUCCUGGCCCUAAACGUUGGGCACUAGGUAGUAGCCUUCACAUGGGGUUACUGCCGGAGCAAAAGUGCUAAGUGCCCCGCCUGGGGAGUAUGGUCGCAAGGCUGAA
rnacentral:rRNA from 1 species